UCCGUCUUGACGACGGCAGUCCCUUUGGAGUGCCCAACUAAAUGAUGGCAACCAAAGGCAAGGGUUGCGCUCGUUGCGGGACUUAACCCAACAUUUCACAACACGAGCUGACGACAGCCAUGCAGCACCUGUCUCCUCGUCCCUUGCGGGCCUACUGCAUCUCUGCAGUAUUCGAGGGAUGUCAAACCCAGGUAAGGUUCUUCGCGUUGCUUCGAAUUAAACCACAUGAUCCACCGCUUGUGCGGGCCCCCGUCAAUUCCUUUGAGUUUUAGUCUUGCGACCGUACUCCCCAGGCGGGAUACUUAUCGUGUUAACGUCGACACGGCAGGGGUCAAGACCCGCCACGUCUAGUAUCCAUCGUUUACAGCGUGGACUAC
rnacentral:misc_RNA from 1 species